CCGAUUCCCGUACGUUCACCGAAGUUAAGCAAUACUGAGCCUGGUCAGUACCUAGAUGGGUGACCGCUUGAGAAUACCAGAUCUUGUAA